rnacentral:rRNA from 1 species
CGGCGGACGGGUGAGUAACACGUGGAUAACCUACCUAUAAGACUGGGAUAACUUCGGGAAACCGGAGCUAAUACCGGAUAAUAUUUUGAACCGCAUGGUUCAAAAGUGAAAGACGGUCUUGCUGUCACUUAUAGAUGGAUCCGCGCUGCAUUAGCUAGUUGGUAAGGUAACGGCUUACCAAGGCAACGAUGCAUAGCCGACCUGGAGGGUGAUCGGCCACACUGGAACUGAGACACGGUCCAG